rnacentral:lncRNA from 1 species
CAAGAGGAUCUCGAGUUCAAAGCCAGCCUCAGCAAAAGUGAUCCUCAGGCGUCUAGCUCAGAGUCAGACAUCAUCCCCUCUUCCAAAUGUCUGUGUUUUCUUUCGAGGAUGGGGGAUUGAACUCAGGGGCACUUGACCACUGAGCCACAUCCCCAGCCUAUUUUGUGUUUUAUUUAGAGACAGGGUCUCACUGAGUUGCUUCACGCCUCACUUUUGCUGAGGCUGGCUUUGAACUCGAGAUCCUCUUGUCUCAGCCUCAGGAGCCGCUGGGAUUACAGGCAUGCACCACCAGGCCUGACCCAUGUUUUCUUGAUGUGGAGCCAUCAGUGCUGUAAUGCUGGUCAAAUGACACAGCCACUUGGGGUGUGUGACUCUGCUCCUUGGUCUUGGAGGCCUAGCUGUUAUGUUGACAUUUUUUUGAAGUAGAAUUCACAUGACAUAAAAUUAGCUAUUUUGAGGUGUGCAGGUCAGUGUUUAGAACAUUCAGUAUUCUGCCACCACCACCUCUAUGAAGUCUCAGAACAUUUUCAUCACUCCCAGGGAAACCCUGUUCAUGAGCAAGCAUUGCCAACUCCUCCCUGCCAACCCCUGGCACCCUCUAAUCUGCCUUCUGUUUCUAUAGAUUUGCCUAUUCUGAACAUUUCCUGUAAAUGGAAUCAUGUGACAUGUAGCCUUUUGGGUCUGGCUUUUGCUCAGCAUAUUGCUUUUGAGGUUCACCCAUACUGUGACAUAUGCCAUUAUUUUAUGGCUAAAUAACAUUCCGUUAUAUGGAUGGACUGAGUUUUGUUUUAUGACCAGGAUGGUGUUGAUUAGCUCUUCCAUAAUAAAGGAGCUAUGGAGGGACUUUUUCUGAUUGCAUGUGUGUCUUGUCUUAGUUUUUGAAGCAACUCUUGGCCGUGUCCAUCCUUGACCAUCUUCAUAAAAAGAUGCUGACUUUAUUACUUGUCAGCUGGCUCUCAUGACAUGUGAGCUCUUCUCUGAUUUGACUAGAUUGAUCUUACUAGAGAAUAUAGCCUUGAAUUCUUUGUCUAUACUUUUCAAGAACUGUUUUGGGAAAUAACGUAUAGUAUAUGUAUAUACGUCCCAUGUGUCACUCUAGAAUUUAGAUCGCGUUCAGCAGUCACAAGCUAGCUGCCUGUUUUUAUAAGUGAAAUGUCAAGGCCAUACCCACUUGUGUAUAAACCGUUCCCACUGUCUGCUUCCACCUGCAGUGGCAGAACCACAAGAGAUUCAUAUGGCCACAGCCCUAUAUUUUUAAGAAUGAUUGGGGACCCAAAGAGCUUUGUUUAUGUGGUUAAUGGACAUUGAUGUUCACUGCAUCAGGAAUUAAAAUAAGUUUUUAAAUAUGUGAGGAUUAAUAAUUACAAGCACAUUACUUUUUUACAUUUCAUUUUUGCAGAUUUUUAAAAAUUUCUUAGUUGUAGAUGAACACAAUAUCUGUAUUUUAUUUAUUUUUAUGUGGUGCUGAAGAUUGAACCCAGUGCGUCACACAUGCUAGGCAAGUGCUCUACCACUGAGCUACAACCACAGCCCCAGCAGAUAAUUUUAAUAUCUGGUAUCAUAGGAAAGAAGUUCUUGAAUCUUUUUCAUUUAGCCUAUUGUGAUAUCACGGCUCAGGCAGCCUGGAGGCCUCUCCUGCACACUCUUAAGAUGAGCGUGAGGUUGUCUAAUGACAGCUUUGAAUUCUUGGGAAAUAGUUUUGACAUUGUGAGAUCCAGGAAAGGUCUUGGGCCCAAAACCUGUGGAGCAGCUUUGUGUGUGUCUGGCUGCACUGACUCCUGCUGAGUUGUGCUGGUGUUCUGCUACCAGCACGCUUGGGUUGCCUUAGAAACCUCUGCAGCUUCCUCUGGUGCUUAUUCUUGGCAUGAUGGUGAGGAAUCGGGCUGAGCCAUUUCCCUCAGGUUCGAGACUAGGGUCAGUGAUACCACUAGGAUCAGUAAGAACCCACUGUGGGUUCUUACGUUGAUUAAAAAGACGUUAUCCUGACUGACCUCUUCUCUCUGCUGCGGCACCUGCGUGCGGGGAGCCUGCUUCCUCCCGUACUCAGCUCUGCUGGUGGUACGCAGGGCCUCACGCCAGUCACAGCCUGGCUCUUCUCAUGCUUCUGUUUUUUCAUCUCCAUCUGUCAUCCGUUUGCGUCUUCCUGUAGGUUAUAAUUUAUUCUGUUUCUAUAAAUUCUCAUCUUUAUGUGAACGAGAUUGAAUACAAUCCUUG